AACCAUUCUCACCUGCGGCUAGACCUGCGGAAGGAUCAUCAAAGAAUUUUCCAAAGAAAAAUGAGUUGCCUUGACAAGCGCUCUUUUUUCUUCAAACAAACGAUCACAACUAUUGAAAAAAUAUAAGAGAGAGUGAAAAAUUGAUUUGGUUGUGAGAAAUUGACUUGGCUUGAAAUUAAACAAACAAGUGUUUGCCUGAUAAUCUAAUGACUUGGAAACAAGAGAAAGAAAUAAUAAUAC
rnacentral:misc_RNA from 1 species